GGAAGUGAGGCAGCUUCCGCGUCACGCCACGGAACCUCACUGCCAGGAGCCUCCAGCAGAGGAGCGGUCCCCUGGCACCCCGGACGUCUCCUGCCUUUCCUGGCCCCCAUGGGCCCCCCUCUUGGGGCUCGCGCCCACCACCACCAACACCCAGAGCCACAGCUGGCCCCGGAGAACACUCUCUCGCCGAGUACUGUCGCCUCCACGGCCCUCACAGGCAACUUACUCUGCCCAGCUUCCCCCCUCAGGGACUGAGGGCGCCUCUCUGCCCAGAGACGCCGCCGGCCAUGGAGGCCAGGGAAGGACGCCCACAUGAGGCGAGGGCGGUUAGGUCCUAAACAGGGCAAGAAUAUUGGAAUGGGUUGCCGUUUCCUCCUCCAAGGGAUCUUCCCAACCCAGUAAUAGAACCUGUGUCCCCUGUCUCCUGCUUGGCAGGUGGAUCAUUACCACCUGGAAAGCCACCUGGGAAUCCUUUAGUAUGAGAUGCCAUAGCUGCUGCUGCUGCUGCUGCUGCUGCUAAGUUGCUUCAGUCGUGUCCAACUCUGUGCGACCUCAUAGACGGCAGCCCAUCAGGCUCCUCCAUCCCUGGGAUUCUGCAGGCAAGAGUACUGGAGUGGGUUGCCAUUUCCUUCUCCAAUGCAUGAACCUGGAAAAGGAAGUCGCUCAGUCGUGUCCGACUCCUAGCGAUCCCACGGACUGCAGCCUACCAGGCUCCUGCGUCCAUGGGAUUUUCCAGGCAAGAGUACUGGAGUGGGGUGCCAGUGCCUUCUCCAGAUGCCAUAGCUAAGCAUCUUAAUUUCAAUAUAUAAGCAGAUUGUUACUGGUACUCUGGUUAAUCUACCACGACUGAAUAGCCUGUGGCUUGACCCUAAGAGGGCACAAAGUUCAGAGAAUGAAUUAUUACACAAAGUAUGUCUUCUGUUUUAAUUUUCUUUCUUUUUUCUUGUUUUUUUUUUAGUUUUAUUUUAUUUUAUUAUUUUUUAAUUAUCUAAUGGAGACUAACUCUGAGACACUUAUGCAAGGAACUGACUUAUGUUUCAUGGCCUUGAAAAAUGUUGCCACCUCAGUUAAAUUAAUGGUCUAAUAGCUUUGACCAUUUUGGGAGAACUGUCAGCAGUUAUAUGUCCUAAAUUUGGCCAGUUUCAUAUGAGCCUUGUUAAGACAUUAUGGGACUUCCUCAGUGGUCCAGUGGUUAGGACUCGGAACUUUCACUGCCCAGGCCCAGGAUUCAAUCCUUGGUCAAGAAACUAAGAUCCUGCAAGCCAGAAGGUGUGGCAAAAAAAGAAAACAACCCCACCUCCCUUCCAAAACAUUGCUAAACCUCAGAACUAAGUUAUGCUUGUCAUGGACAUCAUAUUCAGGAGUUUAUUUUUUACUAUUUGUAUAUUUACCACAUAUAUAGUUUUGCUAUAAAUAUAUACAUAUAUCAUAAAUGGCUUAACUUUUUUCAUAGAAUUUGUCCUGUGAAUUAUCAGCCUUAUCUUGGCACUGAGUAAUGCUGUGUGUCUUCAAUAAUGUUACUUUUGGUUGUGGAAUGUGGGGCAUAAUUUUUCUCCCACAUUCAAGAGAUAAUACCUUAUAAAGUCUCCAUUCCUAAAAAGUUUUAAUGAACAGAGGAUAUUUUUUAAUCCCUAUGCAAUUCGAUUUUAUAGAAUAAUUAUUAUAUUUUUCAUAUUGAUAUUUUAUAAAUCUGGGGACUUUCCUACUAUGCUGAGGAAUACCACUGGAAAAACAAAAGAAAAAAAAAUCAAAUAAUAAUUCCCUGUACUGCUCUGGGCUCUUAUAUUGGCAGUGAGAAGCACAUUUCUAAGAAAAGUUAAUUUCAACAACAAUAAUAUCUUUUAAGGUAAAUAUUUCCCUUAAACUUGCCUAUGAUAUGACCAGACAAAAAGUAGAGAUUUUUAAAAAAGAUAUUUUAUCUGAUUGGUCAGAGCCAAAGGGCCAGUGAUUCUUUUUUUUAAUAUUAAAC
ensembl:lncRNA